AACGAACGCUGGCGGCAUGCCUAACACAUGCAAGUCGAACGAGACCUUCGGGUCCAGUGGCGCACGGGGUUGUAAGCCGUGGGAACCUGCCCUUAGGGUCGGACUAACUCUCCGAAAGGGGUGCCAAUACCGGACAAGAGCUACUGACGAAGGAUUUAUUGACCUGGGUGGGGCCGGCGUUGGAUAAGCUAGUUGGUAGGGUAAUAGCUUCCGAAGGGGAGCAUUCAUAGCUGGUUUGAGAGACUGAUCAGCCACACUGGGACGGAGACGCGGCCCGGAAUCCUCCGGGAGGGAGCAGUGGGGAAUGUUGGAACGUGGGCGGAGGCCUGAACGAGCAAUGCCGCGUGAGUGAUGAAGGUCGUAGGGUUGUAAAGCUCUUUUAACCGUGAUGAUAAUGACAGUACCGGGAGAGUAAGCUCCGGCUAACUCCGUG
rnacentral:rRNA from 1 species